UACGAAGGGGGCUAGCGUUGUUCGGAAUUACUGGGCGUAAAGCGCGCGCAGGCGGUCUUCCAAGUCAGUGGUGAAAGCCCGGAGCUCAACUCCGGAACUGCCAUUGAAACUGUUGGACUUGAGUACGAGAGAGGUGAGUGGAAUUCCCAGUGUAGAGGUGAAAUUCGUAGAUAUUGGGAAGAACACCAGUGGCGAAGGCGGCUCACUGGCUCGUAACUGACGCUCAGGCGCGACAGCGUGGGGAUCAAACAGG
rnacentral:rRNA from 1 species